GACAGAGGAUGCAAGCGUUAUCGGGAAUGAUUGGGCGUAAAGCGUCUGUAGGUGGCUUAAAAAGUCUCCUGUCAAAGAUCAGGGCUUAACCCUGGGACGGCAGGAGAAACUCUUAUGCUAGAGUUUGGUCGGGGCAGAGGGAAGUCCCGGUGGAGCGGUGAAAUGCGUAGAGAUCGGGAGGAACACCAAAGGCGUAAGCACUCUGCUGGGCCAUAACUGACACUGAGAGACGAAAGCGAGGGGAGCAAAAGGG
rnacentral:rRNA from 1 species